GACGAACGCUGGCGGCGUGCUUAACACAUGCAAGUCGAACGGUAAGGCCCUUCGGGGUACACGAGUGGCGAACGGGUGAGUAACACGUGGGUGAUCUGCCCUGCACUUCGGGAUAAGCCUGGGAAACUGGGUCUAAUACCGGAUAGGACUCCUGGCUUCAUGGUUGGGGGUGGAAAGCUUUUGCGGUGUGGGAUGGGCCCGCGGCAUAUCAGCUUGUUGGUGGGGUAAUGGCCUACCAAGGCGACGACGGGUAGCCGGCCAGAGAGGGUGACCGGUCACACUGGCACUGAGAUACGGCCCAGACUCCUACGGGAGGCAGCAGUGGGGAAUAUUGCACAAUGGGCGCAAGCCUGAUGCAGCGACGCCGCGUGAGGGAUGACGGCCUUCGGGUUAUAAACCUCUUUCAGCUAUGACGAAGCGCAAGUGACGGUAGUAGCAGAAGAAGGACCGGCCAACUACGUGCCAGCCGCCGCGGUAA
rnacentral:rRNA from 1 species